rnacentral:rRNA from 1 species
GACGAACGCUGGCGGCGUGCUUAACACAUGCAAGUCGUACGGUAAGGCCCUUUCGGGGGUACACGAGUGGCGAACGGGGGAGUAACACGAAAGUAACCUGCCCACAACUUUGGGAUAACGCUAGGAAACUGGAGCUAAUACUGGAUAUGUGCUACUGCUGCAUGGUGGGGGUUGGAAAGCUCCGGCGGUUGUGGAUGGACUCGCGGCCUAUCAGCUUGUUGGUGGGGUAGUGGCCUACCAAGGCGGCGACGGGUAGCCGGCCUGAGAGGGUGACCGGCCACAUUGGGACUGAGAUACGGCCCCGACUCCUACGGUAGGCAGCAGUGGGGAAUAUUGCACAAUGGGCGCAAGCCUGAUGCAGCAACGCCGCGUGCGGGAUGACGGCCUUCGGGUUGUAAACCGCUUUCAGCAGGGACGAAGCUUUUUGUGACGGUACCUGCAGAAGAAGCACCGGCUAACUACGUG